GGGGAUGUAGCUCAACUGGGAGAGCGCGGCCUUUGCAAGGCUGAGGUUGGCGGUUCGACCCCGCUCAUCUCCACCA
rnacentral:tRNA from 5 species